rnacentral:rRNA from 1 species
AUUGAACGCUGGCGGCAUGCCUUACACAUGCAAGUCGAACGGCAGCAUGGAAGAGCUUGCUCUUCUGAUGGCGAGUGGCGAACGGGUGAGUAAAGCAUCGGAACGUACCGUGUAGUGGGGGAUAACGUAGCGAAAGUUACGCUAAUACCGCAUACGCACUGAGGUGGAAAGCAGGGGAUCGCAAGACCUUGCGCUAUACGAGCGGCCGAUGUCAGAUUAGCUAGUUGGUAGGGUAAAGGCCUACCAAGGCGACGAUCUGUAGCGGGUCUGAGAGGAUGAUCCGCCACACUGGGACUGAGACACGGCCCAGACUCCUACGGGAGUCAGCAGUGGGGAAUUUUGGACAAUGGGCGAAAGCCUGAUCCAGCCAUGCCGCGUGAGUGAAGAAGGCCUUCGGGUUGUAAAGCUCUUUCGGCUGGGAAGAAAUCGCACAGGCUAAUACUCUGUGUGGAUGACGGUACCAGCACAAGAAGCACCGGCUAACUACGUGCCAGCCGCCGCAGUAA